rnacentral:lncRNA from 1 species
UGUUAACAAUCUAAGAUAGUAGGAUGUGCCACUUAGUAUUGAUCUAAAUACAAGUUUAUUUUUUUUUUGUCCUCCAGGAACGUUUCGAUGCCUUGCUGAACUGAGGUACCACUCAGGAGAAGGAGGAGACUUCGCAGAAGCACGACACGCUGCAAAACACGUUUCUUCUUUUCUCACUGUCCAGAUGGCAGCUUCAGCUUGAGUCCUGGCCCAGUUGCCAGCUGGAAGCUCAGAGUGGCUUCUGCAUGUAGACUGAAAUCCACCUCCCCUGAGCCCUCCCAGGCCUGAGCUUUGGACUGCUGCGGGAGGAUGCUGGUCCUUCGGCUCCUGACGCUCUUUGCUGUAACCCCUCCUCCUC